rnacentral:lncRNA from 1 species
UGGAUUUCACAUAGUCAUCAUGCAGUUCAUUAAACGCUUCUUGUAAUUCAUCAUAUGUUGGAUUAAAUUGCGAACUAACCUCACUGUCAGAUUCUGAAUUAGUGUGAGCCAUGAGACAUAAAUUCACUUUUUCUUCAUCCGAAGAGGCAGAGGACUCAUCGUUAUCGUUGUCACUCCAUGCAAUAUAUGCUCUUUUGGCUUUGUGAGCUCUAUUCUUGUUCUGCAGUUUGUAGCAUUCCGACUUUAUGUGACCAAUCUUACCACAUUCAUAGCAUGUAACUGUCUUGAUGUCACUAGUCUUAGAGCUGGAUGGUUUUCUGAAUUUGUUAUCUUUCUUCUUCAGAAACUUCUUAAAUUUCUUGACAAGUGAUUCGAUUUCAGUCUCUUC